GAACUGUGCACACGUUUUUCGAAUACGUAAAUACCUAUGUUCAUAUGUUUUAAUUUAUUCAUUUGUUAAUUCUUUUCCUUUUGAGAGUUGUGUGCGUGUCCCACCAAUGUCGCGUUGUUGAGUAGCGCUAUAGAUAGACACACAGAUGAUAUCGAAUCGCACUAACACACCCAAAAUGAUUGCAUCGAUCGGCUAGUUGAGACCGGCCGCGGUUCAAGCAGCAAGCAGCCACCGCAAAUGAAAUCGCUGCACAGGCGAGCGAGGCAAACAGAAAUACGAGCAAGCAGCAGCUGGCGCCAGCGCCAGCAGCAAGCAAAAAGCGGCAAACAAGCUUAUAACGUGUUACGAGUAGCAAAAGCAAAAGUGAAAAUACAUACAUACAUGCAGAGACUCUCGCAUACACACACGCAUACAUGUUCACGCAAUACAGACGCACGCGCACAAUUCAGGGCAAAGAACGUAUUUGUAUGUGCGGGUGCUGAUCAAAUUGGAAUACUUUAAUGUGAUUGGCUCACAUUCUUGAGAUUGAGAGACAAGCAACGAAGGAAACGGAACGAACCAAGAGCCAAGAAGAGAGCGGAACAAAUAGAGAGAACGAAAUAAAAGCUGACGAGAGUGACUUACUUUUUAUUCUUGUACUUCUGGGAAGUUGGUAAUAUUUCUACAGAUGGAGCAUCGGACAUCGCUGAUACCACCGGGGUCUGUCCCAUGAUAAUAUCCUGGCGCUGAGCGAUAAUUUGUUCUGAAGCAAAGUGUGGACAAAAAUCGAUUUGAGAAAAUUAUUGAUGAUUAGUGUAAAUACCUAAUUUGUAGUGGGCCCUUGGGUCAGGGACUGACACACUACUGGAUAGACACAUACCACCAGCGUCUGGCUGGGAAAAGCACAUCGGAACAUCUGGCUGAACGAUGGCUGCUGUCGUUGCUGCUGUCGCAGCUGGCCCUGGCCCUGGCUCCUGGCUAUCGAUGUCCGUACUCGCAUUACUCUAUGUAAUAGAAUUUACGUUAUUAAACUGAAUUGAGAUGAAACCUUAA